rnacentral:rRNA from 1 species
CCUACGGGGUGCAGCAGUGAGGAAUAUUGGUCAAUGGCCGGAAGGCUGAACCAGCCAUGCCGCGUGAAGGUCAGUGCCCUAUGGGCGUUAAACUUCUUUUGUGCGGGAGCAAUAAUGGUCACGUGUGGCCAGACGAGAGUACCGUACGAAUAAGCAUCGGCUAACUCCGUGCCAGCAGCCGCGGUAAUACGGGGGAUGCAAGCGUUAUCCGGAUUUAUUGGGUUUAAAGGGUGCGUAGGUGGUUAAUUAAGUCAGCGGUGAAAGUUUGUGGCUCAACCAUAAAAUUGCCGUUGAAACUGGUUGACUUGAGUACAGUUGAGGUAGGCGGAAUUCGUGGUGUAGCGGUGAAAUGCUUAGAUAUCACGAAGAACUCCGAUUGCGAAGGCAGCCUACUAAACUGCCACUGACAUUGAUGCUCGAAAGUGUGGGUAUCAAACAGGAUUAGAUACCCCUGUAGUC